GACGAACGCUGGCGGCGUGCUUAACACAUGCAAGUCGAACGGGAGUAUAAAGAAAGCUUGCUUUUGAUAUACUUUAGUGGCGGACGGGUGAGUAACGCGUGAGGAGCUGUCAUGAACAGGGGGACAACAGAUGGAAACGUCUGCUAAUACCCCAUAAGCCUUCGGGUAAAAGGAGCAAUCCGGUCCAUGAGGUACUCGCGUCCUAUCAGCUAGUAGGUGAGGUAACGGCUCACCUAGGCGAAGACGGGUAGCCGGCCUGAGAGGGCGAACGGCCACACUGGAACUGAGACACGGUCCAGACUCCUACGGGAGGCAGCAGUGGGGAAUAUUGGGCAAUGGGGGCAACCCUGACCCAGCGACGUCGCGUGGGUGAUGAAAUCCUUCGGGAUGUAAAGCCCUGUUGUAUGGGAAGAUAAUGACGGUACCAUACGAGGAAGCCCCGGCAAACUACGUG
rnacentral:rRNA from 1 species